CACGUAGGGGGCGAGCGUUGUCCGGAAUCAUUGGGCGUAAAGAGCUCGUAGGCGGCUCGGUAAGUCGGGUGUGAAACCCCCAGGCUCAACCUGGGGACGCCACCCGAUACUGCUGUGGCUAGAGUCCAGUAGGGGAGUGUGGAAUUCCCGGUGUAGCGGUGAAAUGCGCAGAUAUCGGGAGGAACACCAGCGGCGAAGGCGGCACUCUGGGACGGUACUGACGCUGAGACGCGAAAGCGUGGGGAGCAAACAGG
rnacentral:rRNA from 1 species